UAAUACGUAGGCAGCAAGCGUUGUUCGGAAUUACUGGGCGUAAAGGGUGCGUAGGCGGCGCUCUAAGUUUGGUGUGAAAUCUCCCGGCUUAACUGGGAGGGUGCACUGAAAACUGGGGCGCUCGAGUAUGGGAGAGGAAAGCGGAAUUCCUGGUGUAGCGGUGAAAUGCGUAGAGAUCAGGAGGAACACCUGCGGUGUAGACGGCUUUCUGGACCAUAACUGACGCUGAGGCACGAAAGCGUGGGUAGCAAACAGG
rnacentral:rRNA from 1 species